GCCGGCACCUGACUCAACCACCCUGGACAACAUGGAGGGCACUUCUGACUCAACCACCCUGGACAACGUAAACAGCAGCAACACUCAACCAAGACAUGAUUCCCAGCAGAACACAGCACUUCAAGUGAUUACGUCUCAAGCUUCUUCAAACGGCUCCAAAGGAAAGCAAGCUGGGAAGACGAGAAGCAAGUGGACAGGUGAUGAAGUCAAGGCUGUUGAGCGGCA